ACCUUCGGGCCUCUUGCCAUCGGAUGUGCCCAGAUGGGAUUAGCUAGUAGGUGGGGUAAAGGCUCACCUAGGCGACGAUCCCUAGCUGGUCUGAGAGGAUGACCAGCCACACUGGAACUGAGACACGGUCCAGACUCCUACGGGAGGCAGCAGUGGGGAAUAUUGCACAAUGGGCGCAAGCCUGAUGCAGCCAUGCCGCGUGUAUGAAGAAGGCCUUCGGGUUGUAAAGUACUUUCAGCGGGGAGGAAGGGAGUAAAGUUAAUACCUUUGCUCAUUGACGUUACCCGCAGAAGAAGCACCGGCUAACUCCGUGCCAGCAGCCGCGGUAAUACGGAGGGUGCAAGCGUUAAUCGGAA
rnacentral:rRNA from 1 species